ensembl:lncRNA
CUAAUACGCUGACCUAGAUGCAAACGAUUGCUGCAGCUCGGGGGAGAGGCGGCUCAGUGCAGUUUUGCAGCAAAAGGCCUGGGGGAAGGACCAGGGAGAUGCCUCGCAUCCCAUUCCCGCAGAUACACACUUGAUGCGAAAUCCAGCAGUGAGGUCAGCGCGGCGUGUUCUGCACCCGCAGCUCGUCAGCGUUAAGACAGCAGAACGGUGCGGUUGUGAAGCAGCAACCGGAUGGAGAAAGAGAUCUUAUUCAAGUGGAUAAGCCAUGUGGCCAGCUUGCGGGGGCAUUCAGAGACAGUUGGCAAGAUAAGAUGCUUCAGGAGAGAUGCAGAACUCCGUGUGCAGUCUCUAUGAGGGAAUGCAGAAUGGCAGCAGCUCAGCGAGUGAAUAUAAAGGCCAUAUAAGGGAAGUAAAUGGACUGCUGUAGAGAUGCCAUUAGCAAAGCAAACACUGACUUGGGGACCUUGGCAUACACCAUGGAGGAGAUAAAUUGCAUGAAUAAAUGCAUACUUGUUUCCUUCUCCCUAGAUUUACAGAGUCAGAUGUAACCUAGAAACUGUUUACAUGUGUGAAACAGAAGUUUUUCUGUAGUCAUUUUAACGCCAAGCAAUUUCUACCCCUGUCUAAUCCCGGUGCUCUUAAUUUAAACGCAUCUAUCGUUGUUUCAUUGUAACCAAGGCCUUGGGCUAAUGAAAGAACACCAAACUGGUUCUUUAAGCAAUUGCAGUUUACGACUGUACUCUCUCCUUCUCUCUCUUCAUGCCAAGAGCGCAGUUCCCAUGGUGGUAAAAGGGAAGCAGGAGGUGAAACACCCGAGUCAGGCUCUGGCUGGAGGCACCAGAACGGUCAGCAUGCAGCCACUCGCAGAAGCAGUGCUGAGCACUGGGGCAUUUUGUGGUGGAGGCUUGGAACCGUGCAGAGGUGGUGUGAGUGCUAGGAAGGCAUGCUGCAGAGCAGGCUCCAGUUCUCACACCUGGGACAGUCACCCACCCUAUGGGCACAGCCACGUUCAUGUUCUGGCGUGGCUCACUUUCAGGAUGAGUCUCCAGGUCAUCCUUUGCUCAGCCACGUUUUGUUUUACCCAGCAGGGAAGAGUGCACAGGGUGGAUGCUAUGCGGGUGGCACUGGACAAAAGACAAGGCUUUAGAAGGGCAUCUAAUGGGUCUUGAGUGCUAGAGACCUAGGCUAGAGCAAAGCUAAAGAAAACCAUGUGGAAGCACAUGGAUAUCCAUCAGGUCUUCGGCACCAACAGAUUUGCAGGAGGGUAGAAUAAGACGAUCUUCAAGGUCCCUUCCAGCCCAAACCAUUCUGUGGUUCUGUGACUGGGUCAGGCUGAUCUCUCACACUCGCUAACACAGACACGGCCUUUGUGGGUGCAGCUGGGCGGCUGUGGUUGUUUUGGGGGUAUGCCUUUAUUGUCUUCCUUGCAGAGCACAUCACUGCACACACCUUCUAGCACCAAAGCUGGAUUUCACGCAAUCACAGAAGUGUAGGGGUUGGAAGGGACCUCUGGAGAUCACGGAGUUCAACCCCCUGCUAAAGCAGGCUCCCUACAGCAGGCUGCAUCCAGAACAGAAUCACAGAAUAUUUCACCUUCUUUUAUUUGAAGCACUUUUCCUUCAGGAAUAGGCCUGAAACGAUAGGAUGGAGAACUAGAUUUUGCUGGACAAUUCUCAAUCCAUUUGUUAUCCUUUGAGAAAAUAUACAUUUCCACUCAUGUUCUGAUUUUAAGACUUUACAUUACAGAGCAAAAAUAGUCUUCUUCCAUCCAAUAAAGUGGCUUUGUAAUUUAAUUCUGAACAUGACUGUUGUUACAAUUAAAUGGUGUAAACACAGACUGAGUGCAAUAAACCCCGCUUCCAUUUAGCAUUAAUAAUAUUAAUGAUCAGUACUUAAAUCACACGCGAUCUUCCAGGACUGUAAAAGAAACAUUACCAAAGAGAUUUUCCCUGUCUGGUGCCGACAUAAUUUAAACUCGGCAUAAAAUUGUCUCCUGUUGGAGGGAAUCUAUUGGCGCUGCAGGGCGGGGAGGAAGAAGCAGAAAGAGGAAAUCUCUCUCCCAGCGGAGACCAUCCCUCCUCGCAACCCCUCCCCAAAACUUUCCCACUCCAGACCCCGGCCAAGGCCUGGGGGCUCCCACCCCUCCGCCCGACCUCCCCCAGCCGGAGGAGCAGCCCGGUAGUCCGCUCACAUUGCCCCUCGCUGUAGCCCGGCAGCUCCCAAACUGUCGGAAGCAAAUCGCUGGCUCAGCAGCUCGCAUGCACACACGCAGACACACGCACUGCUCACACGCACACCACCCGCUUAGCCCGUAUUUGCCCAUGUAAAGGCUGCAGCCUCCCUCCGCCCCCCCCCCCCCCCCCCCCCCCCCGUUAACCCUCCCUCCCCGCCGGCUUUUUCCCCCUCCUCUGCCCUCUCCCCCACUGCCUCCCUGCCGCCCCCAGCCUCGGAGCGCCAGGGCCCCCCCGGGACCCCCAGCCCCGCCCCG